rnacentral:rRNA from 1 species
AUUGAACGCUGGCGGCAGGCCUAACACAUGCAAGUCGAGCGGUAACAGGAAGAAAGCUUGCUUUCUUUGCUGACGAGCGGCGGACGGGUGAGUAAUGCCUAGGAAAUUGCCCUGAUGUGGGGGAUAACCAUUGGAAACGAUGGCUAAUACCGCAUAAUCUCUUCGGAGCAAAGAGGGGGACCUUCGGGCCUCUCGCCAUGAGAGUAGCCCAAGUGGGAUUAGCUAGUUGGUAAGGUAAAGGCUUACCAAGGCGACGAUCCCUAGCUGGUCUUAGAGGAUGACCAGCCACACUGGAACUGAGACACGGUCCAG